UACGGAUGCAGCAGCAGGAUCUGCGCAUGGGCGAAGCUGACGCAGCGACACGCGUGUGGGAGAAGCUUUUCGGAGUGUAAACCACUGUGGCAGGGGAAGAAGUUCUGACUGUACCUGCUAGAAGCACUGCUAACUACGUGCCAGAAGCCUCGGUAAUACGUAGGGUGCAAGCGUUAUCCGGGAUUUACUGGGCGUAAAGCGUUCUGUCGGCGUCUUGGUAAGUUUCUUGUUUAAGCUGAGGCUCAACUUCAGACAAGCAAGAAAAACUACCAGGAUUGAGUUUGUUCGGGGGAUUUGGAAUUCUCGGUGGAGGGGUGAAAUCCGUAGAUAUCGAGAGGAACACCAAUCGCGAAGGCGGAAUCCUAGAACAAUACUGACGCUCAAAGACGAAAGCUUGGGUAGCAAAAGGGAUUAGAGACCCCUGUAGUCCAAGCCGUAAACAUUCCUCGCUAGCUGCUGGAUUUAUUUCAGUGGCGUAAGCUAACGCGUUAAGCGGGGCGCCUGGGGAGUACGACCGCAAGGUUAAAACUCAAAGGAAUUGACGGGGGAGCGCACAACCGGUGGAGCAUGUGGUUUAAUUCGAUACAAAGCGAAAAACCUUACCUGGGUUUGACAUGUACCUGCACGCUCUGUGAAAGCAGAGUUUCUUCGAGAGUGGUACACAGGUGAUGCAUGGCUGUCGUCAGCUCGUGUCGUGAGACGUCCGCUUAAGUGCGGUAACGAGCGCAACCCUUAUCCUCAGUUACAAGUGUCUGAGGAAACUGCCCCUGUUACUCAGGGGAGGAAGGAGAGGACGACGUCAAGUCAGCACGUCCCUUACAUCCAGGGCAACACACAUCCUACAAUGGAGCCGACAACGGGUAGCAACGGGGUAACCCCGAGCCAAUCCUUAUAAACGGCUCCUCAGUUCGGAUUGAGGGCUGCAAUUCGCCCUCAUGAAGCCGGAAUCGGUAGUAAUCGCAAAUCAGCAGGUUGCGGUGAAUACGUUCUCGCUCCUUGUCCACACUGCCCGUCAAGCCAGCAAAGUCGGCAACGCCCGAAGCGGGUGACCUCAACCUUUGGGAGAGGCCCCU
rnacentral:rRNA from 1 species